rnacentral:rRNA from 1 species
UACGUAGGGACCGAGCGUUUGUCCGGAUUCAUUGGGCGUAAAGAGCUCGUAGGCGGCCACUCAAGUCGAAUGUGAAACCUCGAGGCUUAACCUCGAGCCUGCAUUCGAUACUGGGCGGCUAGAGUCUGGUAGGGGGAUCUGGAAUUCCUGGUGUAGCGGUGGAAUGCGCAGAUAUCAGGAGGAACACCGGUGGCGAAGGCGGGAUCCUGGGCCAGUACUGACGCUGAGGAGCGAAAGCGUGGGGAGCGAACAGG